rnacentral:tRNA from 1 species
UCCCUUGUAGCUCAGUCGGUAAAGAAUCUGCCUGUAAUGCAGGAGACCCAGGUUCAGUUCCUGAGUGGGAA